AGUGGCGCACGGGUGCGUAACACGUGAGUUACAUGCCCUGCAGUGGAGAAUAGCCCGCCGAAAGGCGGAUUAAUACUUCAUGGUCCCGCAAGGGUAAAGGUGGCUUCGGCUGCCGCUGCAGGAUUGGCUCGCGGCCUAUCAGCUUGUUGGUGAGGUAACGGCUCACCAAGGCAACGACGGGUACCUGGUCUGAGAGGAUGAUCAGGCACACUGGAACUGAGACACGGUCCAGACACCUACGGGUGGCAGCAGUCGAGAAUAAUUCACAAUGGGCGAAAGCCUGAUGGUGCAACGCCGCGUGGAGGAUGACGGUCUUCGGAUUGUAAACUCCUGUCAUCGGGGAGUAAGACCUGGCGGUAAAUAGCCGACAGGGUUGAUAGUACCCGAAGAGGAAGGGACGGCUAACUUCGUGCCAGCAGCCGCGGUAAUACGAAGGUCCCAAGCGUUGUUCGGAAUCACUGGGCGUAAAGGGAGCGUAGGCGG
rnacentral:rRNA from 1 species